AUUGAACGCUGGCGGCAGGCAUAACACAUGCAAGUCGAGCGGAGCGGCGGACGGGUGAGUAAUGCCUAGGAAUCUGCCUGGUAGUGGGGGAUAACGUCCGGAAACGGGCGCUAAUACCGCAUACUAUCAGAUGAGCCUAGGUCGGAAAAGCUAGUUGGUGGAGUAAAGGCCUACCAAGGCCACGAUCCGUAACUGGUCUGAGAGGAUGAUCAGUCAUACUGGAACUGAGAAAGGGUCCAGGCUCCUACGGGAGGCAGCAGUGGGGAAAUGUGGACAAUGGGCGAAAGCCAGAACCAGCCAUGCCGCGUGUGUGAAGAAGGUCUUCGGAUUGGAAAGCUCUUUAAGUUGGGAGGCGUUACCAACAGAAUAAGCACCGGCUAACUUCGUGCCAGCAGCCGCGGUAAUAC
rnacentral:rRNA from 1 species